GACGGAGGAUGCAAGUGUUAUCCGGAAUCACUGGGCGUAAAGCGUCUGUAGGUGGUUUAAUAAGUCGACUGUUAAAUCUUGAGGCUUAACCUCAAAAUCGCAUUCGAAACUAUUAGACUUGAGUAUAGUAGAGGUAAAGGGAAUUUCCAGUGGAGCGGUGAAAUGCGUAGAUAUUGGAAAGAACACCGAUGGCGAAGGCACUUUACUGGGCUAUUACUGACACUCAGAGACGAAAGCUAGGGUAGCAAAUGGGAUUAGAUACCCCAGUAGUCCUAGCCGUAAACAAUGGAUACUAGAUGUUGGACAGAUCGACCUGUGCAGUAUCAAAGCUAACGCGUUAAGUAUCCCGC
rnacentral:rRNA from 1 species